UACAGAGGUCUCAAGCGUUGUUCGGAUUCAUUGGGCGUAAAGGGCGCGUAGGCGGUGAAGUAAGUCUGGUGUGAAAUCUAGGAGCUUAACUCCUAAACUGCACUGGAUACUGUUUUGCUUGAGGACUGGAGAGGAGAUUGGAAUUCACGGUGUAGCAGUGAAAUGUGUAGAUAUCGUGAGGAAGACCAGUGGCGAAGGCGGAUCUCUGGACAGUUCCUGACGCUGAGGCGCGAAGGCCAGGGGAGCAAAUGGG
rnacentral:rRNA from 1 species